rnacentral:tRNA from 1 species
GCUGUGAUGGCCGAGUGGUUAAGGCGUUUGACUAGAAAUCAAAUGGGAUCUUCCCGCGUAGGUUCAAAUCCUACUCAUAGCG